UACGGGGGGGGCAAGCGUUGUUCGGAAUUACUGGGCGUAAAGGGCUCGUAGGUGGCCAACUAAGUCAGACGUGAAAUCCCUCAGCUUAACUGGGGAACUGCGUCUGAUACUGGAUGGCUUGAGUUUGGGAGAGGGAUGCGGAAUUCCAGGUGUAGCGGUGAAAUGCGUAGAUAUCUGGAGGAACACCGAUGGCGAAGGCAGGUCUCUGGGCAUUAACUGACGCUGAGGAGCGAAAGCAUGGGGAGCGAACAGG
rnacentral:rRNA from 1 species